GUGGGGAAUAUUGGACAAUGGGCGAAAGCCUGAUCCAGCCAUGCCGCGUGUGUGAAGAAGGUCUUCGGAUUGUAAAGCACUUUAAGUUGGGAGGAAGGGCAGUAAGUUAAUACCUUGCUGUUUUGACGUUACCAACAGAAUAAGCACCGGCUAACUUCGUGCCAGCAGCCGCGGUAAUACGAAGGGUGCAAGCGUUAAUCGGAAUUACUGGGCGUAAAGCGCGCGUAGGUGGUUCAGCAAGUUGAAGGUGAAAUCCCCGGGCUCAACCUGGGAACUGCCUCCAAAACUACUGAGCUAGAGUACGGUAGAGGGUAGUGGAAUUUCCUGUGUAGCGGUGAAAUGCGUAGAUAUAGGAAGGAACACCAGUGGCGAAGGCGACCACCUGGACUGAUACUGACACUGAGGUGCGAAAGCGUGGGGAGCAAACAGGAUUAGAAACCCUUGUAGUCC
rnacentral:rRNA from 1 species